rnacentral:rRNA from 1 species
AUUGAACGCUGGCGGCAGGCCUAACACAUGCAAGUCGAGCGGAGCGGCGGACGGGUGCGUAAUGCCUAGGAAUCUGCAUGGUAGUGGGGGAUAACGUCCGGAAACGGGCGCUAAUACCGCAUACUAUCAGUUGAGCUUAGGUCGGUUUAGCUAGUUGGUGGGGUAAAGGCCUUCCUGGGCGACGAUCCUUAGCUGGCCUGAGAGGAGGGCCGGCCACACUGGAACUGGACCACGGUCCAGACGCCUACGGGGGGCGGCAGUGGGGAAUAUUGCACAAUGGGCACAGUCCUGAGGCGGCCAGGCCGCUUGUAUGAAGAGGGCCUUCGGGUUGUAAAGUACUUUCAGCGGGGAGGCGUUACCCGCAGAAGAAGCAACGGCUAACUACGUGCCAGCAGCCGCGGUAAUAC